GCGACCUACCGCGGGAGGCGGGGGAUACGCCCGGGCCCCAACGGCCGGGUAAUACCGCAUACGCUCUCGAGGGCUCAUGCUCUUGAGAAGAAGCCCUUCGGGGGCUCUGCGCGGGGCUUGCGGCCUAUCAGCUAGUUGGCGGGGUAACGGCCCACCAAGGCGACGACGGGUAGCUGGUCUGAGAGGAUGGCCAGCCACAUUGGGACUGAGAGACGGCCCAG
rnacentral:rRNA from 1 species